rnacentral:rRNA from 1 species
GAUGAACGCUGGCGGCGUGCCUAAUACAUGCAAGUCGAGCGAACGGACGAGAAGCUUGCUUCUCUGAUGUUAGCGGCGGACGGGUGAGUAACACGUGGAUAACCUACCUAUAAGACUGGGAUAACUUCGGGAAACCGGAGCUAAUACCGGAUAAUAUUUUGAACCGCAUGGUUCAAAAGUGAAAGACGGUCUUGCUGUCACUUAUAGAUGGAUCCGCGCUGCAUUAGCUAGUUGGUAAGGUAACGGCUUACCAAGGCAACGAUGCAUAGCCGACCUGAGAGGGUGAUCGGCCACCCUGGAACUGAGACACGGUCCAGACUCCUACGGGAGGCAGCAGUAGGGAAUCUUACGCAAUGGGCGAAAGCCUGACGGAGCAACGCCGCGUGAGUGAUGAAGGUCUUCUGAUCGUAAAACUCUGUUAUUAGGGAAGAACAUAUGUGUAAGUAACUGUGCACAUCUUGACGGUACCUAAUCAGAAAGCCACGGCUAACUACGUG